GAAAUUAUCAUCCAUGAGGUCAGGAGUUCAAGACCAGCCUGGCCAAUAUGGCGAAACCCUGUCUCUGCUAAAAAAUACAAAAAUUAGCCAGGCGUGGUGGCGCGUGCCUGUAAUCCCAGCUACUUGGGAGGCUGAGGCAGGAGAAUCAUUUGAGCCCUGGAGGCAGAGGUUGCAGUGAGCUGAGAUCCUGCCACUGCACUCCAGCCUGGGCGACGAGAGAAGCCUCUGUCUGAGAAAAACAAACAAACAAACAAACAAAAGAAGCUAUUAUCCAGAACGCUGAUUUGUAAAGAUAACUUUAUCUAUCUUGGUCAUAAAUUCAACAGCUAAAAAUUCAUUUGUAUCCUUUCAUAUGUUCUGUUUCUUACUCCAAAAGAUAUUAAGAAAAAUGCUGAAUUAUCAAGGUCUCCAGCGAGUGAAAAUCAUAGCAAGUGAUAAUCUCUGGGAGUCCAUCUCUGCAUCCAUGCUCCUUGAUGCCGAACUCUUCAAGGUGGUUGAUGUUAUAGGGGCUCAUUAUCCUGGAACCCAUUCAGCAAAAGAUGCAAAGUUGACUGGGAAGAAGCUUUGGUCUUCUGAAGACUUUAGCACUUUAAAUAGUGACAUGG
rnacentral:lncRNA from 10 species